GAUGAACGCUAGCGGCAGGCUUAACACAUGCAAGUCGAGGGGUAGAGGAAGCUUGCUUCCUUGAGACCGGCGCACGGGUGCGUAACGCGUAUGCAACCUACCUUUUACAGAGGGAUAGCCCAGAGAAAUUUGGAUUAAUACCUCAUGGUAUAUAUCAUUCGCAUGUUUGAUAUAUUAAAGUUCCAACGGUAAAAGAUGGGCAUGCGUCCUAUUAGCUAGAUGGUAAGGUAACGGCUUACCAUGGCAACGAUAGGUAGGGGUCCUGAGAGGGAGAUCCCCCACACGGGUACUAAGACACGGACCAGACUCCUACGGGAGGAAGCAGUGAGGAAUAUUGGACAAUGGGCGCAAGCCUGAUCCAGCCAUGCCGCGUGCAGGAAGAAGCAUCUAUGGUGUGUAAACUGCUUUUGUACGGGAAGAAACACUCCUUCGUGAAGGAGCUUGACGGUACCGUAAGAAUAAGGAUCGGCUAACUCCGUGCCAGCCGCCGCCGUAAAAC
rnacentral:rRNA from 1 species